AGUCGAACGAACUUAACCUAUUCUUAACGAUUAGGAGCGGUUAGUGGCGGACUGGUGAGUAAUGUAUAAGUAACCUGCCUAUCAGAGGGGAACAACAGUUGGAAACGACUGCUAAUACCGCAUAUGCCACGAGAAUCACAUGGUUCAAGUGGGAAAGGAGCAAUCCGCUGAUAGAUGGACUUAUAUCUGAUUAGCUAGUUGGUGGGGUAAUGGCCUACCAAGGCGACGAUCAGUAGCCGGACUGAGAGGUUAAACGGCCACAUUGGGACUGAGAUACGGCCCAGACUCCUACGGGAGGCAGCAGUCGGGAAUAUUGCGCAAUGGAGGAAACUCUGACGCAGUGACGCCGCGUGCAGGAAGAAGGUUUUCGGAUUGUAAACUGCUUUAGACAGGGAAGAAAAAAGACAGUACCUGUAGAAUAAGCUCCGGCUAACUACGUGCCAGCAGCCGCGGUAAUACGUAGGGAGCGAGCGUUAUCCGGAUUUAUUGGGUGUAAAGGGUGCGUAGACGGGAAAUUAAGUUAGUUGUGAAAUCCCACGGCUCAACUGUGGAACUGCAACUAAAACUGAUUUUCUUGAGUACUGGAGAGGAAAGUGGAAUUCCUAGUGUAGCGGUGAAAUGCGUAGAUAUUAGGAGGAACACCAGUGGCGAAGGCGACUUUCUGGACAGAAACUGACGUUGAGGCACGAAAGUGUGGGGAGCAAACAGGAUUAGAUACCCUGGUAGUCCACACCGUAAACGAUGGAUACUAGGUGUAGGGUGUGAUAAACAUUCUGUGCCGUCGCAAACGCAAUAAGUAUCCCACCUGGGGAGUACGGCCGCAAGGUUGAAAC
rnacentral:rRNA from 1 species